AGACAUGAACCACUGGCUGAGAAACAUCCUGAUUCUGACUCUCUGGCUAGAGUGUAAAGGAGAAGACAGAGUGACCCAGCCAGCAGGAGAUGUCAUUGCUGCUGAAGGAGACACAGUUACACUUGGCUGUACUUUUGAGACCAGUGACCCAGGUCCAACUUUGUUCUGGUACAAACAGGAUGGAAACAACAGCCCCAAAUUCAUGUUGAGCCGCAUGCAAGGGGUCGAAGUAAAAACAGAGGCCGAGUACAAGGAGAGAUUUUCAUCCACACUGGAUUCUGACUCAUCUGGGGGACAAAAUAACAGUCUCAGACUCAAACACAGUCAGAUCAGCUGA